AUGCUUCCUCCGGGAACCCGGUCGCGAGGAGCCGCGGCCACGCCCACACCAGGAAGCCAGCGGGGGCGUGGGACGGCCGGCGAGCGUGCGUGCGUGCGUGCCCCUGCGUACGCCGCGACGGCGGGGCGGGGCGCGCGGGGUCACGGGGGACCGGCGCCAGGGCUAGGGCCCGCGCUUCCCGGCGGCACCGGCAGCAUCCCGGACUCACGGACGGCUCGAGAGCCCGGCCGAAGCCCCGACCCCGCGGCACGGUCUGCGGCACCCCUCCGCGCUCCGGCCGGCGCCAGGGGCGGCACUGCCCUUCCAGGGACUGAGCCGAGCGCGAGGCCGCGUUCUCGCAGGCCUGUGCCGAAGCCCACGUCUUCCCGCCGCAGGCCCCGCCUUCCCUGGGCACCCCUCGCCUUUAGCUUUACCUGUGCCGGGCCGGCGACUGGUGAGCAAACAGACCCGGGACGUGAAAGGCCGCCCUGGGUUCCCGAGCGUGGGGUCCCCGGAGGCCGAUCCGGAGAUGGGCUCCGGCGUCCACGAGCCCAGCAGUGUCGUCCCUGGGAGAGCCUCCAGCAGGCCGUCAGUGUCACGAAGGCGAAACCGACCUGUGGCGGCUCAGUGGCUUGUCAGGAGUCCGCAGGGCAGCUGCAGAGCUCGGGAAAUUCCUCAAGACCCGGUGGGAAUCUGCUGUCGUGA
rnacentral:lncRNA from 12 species